CUUACGAGUGUGAGGUCAUCCCGGGGGGAAUACAGAAUAUUUGUGAGCCGGUUUCCUAUUUCAUGUUCUCUUCUCAAGCUUUUUAGUUCAGGAGUAGACUUAAUGAAAGCUAGACUUUAUACCGGAGAGCAUUUUAUGUCUGGAGGAAGCCCUUUUGGCUUUCCUGUGUUCCCGGGGUGGACUCCUCCCUCCCCAGAGCCCCUGUGCCCUCAGAUGAACACCAAUGAGCGACUUAGUCUGAGGAGGAGGACAUAAUUGUCUACAAUACACAGAUAAGGAUAACUACUUCCUGGGUUCUUGUGUGGGGGGCCGUCGUUCUGCCCUGACCCCUGCUGCUGUGUCUCUCUCUGGGCCUGAUGACACCACUCUGCUGUUCGAGGGACGCUUCGAGAGUGGCGACCUGCUGAAAGCAACAAGAGUUGGUGAAUUUGAUUACGAGCUCUCUCUGCGCACCGACCUGUACAAGGAGAAGCACACUCAGGGGUUCCACUUCCAGGUGAGGAACACCCGUGCGGGGGUGCGUUAACUGCUGAAGUGACCAGCCUGUGUGAGGAGGGGCAGCUGCCCCUGCUCUACUCUGAGGAGAUUGCCCGGGUCCAGGGUGUAGGCUGGCAUCGGGUGGGUCAACAGGCCUCCUUCCAAUGUAAUGUGCACCAGCACACCAACCAGCCCUGCUACUCCCUCUCCUGGACCUUCUGCUUCCCUUACUACCAAGUCCUUACUACCAAGUAAAGAAAAUGAUUGAAUGUGCUUCAACACUCCAGCACCAAAAGGCCAGCACUCACUUGAUUAUAUGUUACAAAUGAAGCUUUGUCUAAAGGCCCAAUGCAGACAAAAAUGAGAUUUUCCUGUGUUUGAAAUAUAUUUCCACACUAUGAGGUUGGAAUAAUACUGUGGAAUUGUGAACAGUGUAAGAGCUCUUUGAAAAGACUGCCUGAAAUUUCAGCCUGUAUGGGAUGGAGUUUUGGCCUGCCUGGUAACAUCACCAGGAGGUACAGUAUAUUAGUUAACAGACCAAUAAGAAAGAGAGUUCCAAACCUCUGUUAGGCCUACUGCUGCUAGGUAGCUCUCUCUCUGC